UGAGGAAUUUUACGCAAUGGGGGAAACCCUGACGCAGCAACGCCGCGUGGGUGAUGAAGGCCUUCGGGUCGUAAAGCCCUGUCGGGCGGGAAGAACGUCCCUUCGGGGAAUGACGGUACCGCCAGAGGAAGCACCGGCUAACUCCGUGCCAGCAGCCGCGGUAAUACGGAGGGUGCAAGCGUUAUUCGGAAUUACUGGGCGUAAAGGGCGUGCAGGCGGGAGAGCAAGUCUGAUGUGAGAGCCCGGGGCUUAACCCCGGAAGGGCAUUGGAAACUGCUUUUCUUGAGUUCUGGAGAGGAAGGGAGAAUUCCCGGUGUAGAGGUGAAAUUCGUAGAGAUCGGGAGGAACAUCAGUGGCGAAGGCGGCCACCUGGCCGACAACUGACGCUGAGGUGCGAAAGCGUGGGGAUCAAACA
rnacentral:rRNA from 1 species